rnacentral:lncRNA from 1 species
UUUCCUUGUGUCCACGCUCACUCUGAAGUCACUCUGAAGAUACUCACAGAACAGGAAAUAAUCUGUAUCACAAAGCCUACACAACCAUGGUCCUUUCCCAACUCCAGGACAGAGACUGGUAUACAGAAAGUCAAAGCUGGUGACAGUUCUCCUGAUUUUAAGUGCCAUAGAAGAAAUUCAACUGAAAAAGAAAUUUUCCUAUUCUGAUGCUAGAAUGUACCUCAGCGAUGAUCUACUGGGUUUUUAAACUUUUUAUAUCAUGGACCUUUUUUGAAGUCUGCUGAAACCUAAGAACUGCUCUUUAGAAUAUUGUAUUUAACACAAAAUAAAGUAUAUAAGAUUUGAAGGAAACCA